rnacentral:lncRNA from 1 species
GUAGCUGUAAAAACUGUAGCUGUAUCAACCACAAGAGUAGACUGAGACUCAUGAUCAUCAACUCUCAGCAAGAAACUGACCUAAAGUUCACUUUGUAAACUGUUGUUCCUUUUUAGCAGGCUUGUUCACAAAGGACAUAGUGAAGCUAGUCCAGGCUUUUAGACAUUGCAACUGACAAGAAAAGAACACUGAAAUAGCACUAAAUAAUGAAAUGAUUAUGCUUUCUAGUGUUGCUGUGGUGGCCCACUGUGAUUGGCACCAAAGUCUUACCACCUCGAGCUCCUCCUUUAUUUAGUCUCUCUUCAUCACCUUGUUAUCAGCCUGCCAUUUAUGCAUUCAUAAUUAUAAGAUUUUCAUAAAAAAUUGAAAUUAUAAUUGCAA